CCGUUGUUAUAUAGCUGUUGUCAAAACAAAACGGUUCGUUACUUUUAUACGCCGUGAAACAACUUGGAAUACAGAUUGUAUAAGAGACAACAUGUCAACACAGGCUGUUAAAGAAUUAUCUGUAGCCACACACACUGCUAUGGAUUUUCUUGGUUACUCUAAGGAAAUGAUAAAAUCGAGAGCUGAGAUAGUAAAGCAUUUGUAUUCAAUAUUUAGUAACAAGUUACAAAAUUUGAUUCCAUGGCUUCACUUCGACAGUAUGAUCGCCGGGAGUAUAGGAGACGGGAUUGCAAAACUUUGUGAAAGUGACAUUGAUUUCAUUCUAGUAUUUCGCAAUUUCCUUUGUUUGGACAAUGCUCAGGUAGAAAGUAAACUUUGUAUAAUUCAAACGAUCACAGAGGAUUCUCCGCCGGGUUAUACAAAACUCAAUCCUUUAAAAAUGAAUUCUAAUAUUAUUGCAAAGUUUUUGUUUGAUUUCACCACUGAAUAUGACUUAUGCAGUGGUCAAGUGUUUCUUGAAAGCACAAGCAUGCGUAAUUUAUUUGAAAAAUGUAUAAACACAAGAAGUUCAAAUAUUGCGUAUGAUGGCACAUACAGAGAAUUUCGGAAACAACAAGGACCGUCCGUUCCUUCAACUCUACAUGUUAGAAUACCUUUGAUGCCGCAUAUAAAUAUGUCAUGUGAUACUGAUUUUGUGACAGCACUGCCUUAUAUAUCAUCGUCAGUAUUAGAUCUUGGAGCAAACGUGACAGAUAUUGGCCGCCGCAGUCUGUUUGUCAAGACAUUAUUGAGACAGAGGCUUACGUUGUUCCAGUUGGCGCUACUUGCAGCGAAAAUCAGAAUUACGAAUGGAGAAUUUCUUUUACAACUGCCGAAAGUAUUCUUGUUUCUCAUCUCCAUCCGGCGCUAUUAAAAGUUUACAUUUUAUUUAAAAUGGUUAACAAGUAUUUGAUUAAACCAAAUUGUGAUAUUCUAAGUUCCUACAUAAUAAAGAAUGUUGUUUUCUGGGUGUCAGAACGUAUUGAUACAAGAACGUGUUAUUCUCCUGAAAGAUUCAUAGACUUUCUGCUGCAAGCGCUUUCUUUUCUACUAAACUGUUUACAUUCUAAAUGUCUUCCUAACUAUAUGAUGCAAGAGAGAAAUCUUCUCCUUGGGAAAGGAAAACCAUGUGAUAUUACAAAGCUCAAAUGUAUCAUAUCAAAUCUAUUGGACACGGGUGGCUUUUUCAUUAUCAGGAUAGAGAAACUUAGAGUAAAAAUAUUGUCCGUUGGAAACUGUUUUACAGAUGCUAGACGAUUUUCUGAAAUUAGAGACAAAUUCGAGAUAAUGCUUUUGCGAAUGUAUAUCGACAUGACUACAAAGCUUGCCCCUGAAAAAGCAUUUCAGUCAUCAUUCAUCCAUGAUGCUAUGUUUGAAAUGUUCAAAGAUCCUUUGCUCUUAGAUUUUUUGUUUACAUUGAUGAAUUUUCUGAAUCUAGACAUAAUAUCUUCAAUUACUAACCCACAACAAAUUUGGAAAGCUAUCAACGAUUUUUUGUUUCCAUAAAAAGUUUUUCAAGAAACAAAGGAAACAGGAAAUCAUUUCCAACUGUUAAAGAGAUCAGAUUGCUGUAAACAUAAAAAAUGGAAAAUAAAUGUUUUAUAAUUGCAGACUCUAACAUAAAAAUAAUGAAAUAUACAACAAUGAAUCGAGUAUUGUUUGAUGGACAGCUUUACAUCAGUUUCGCCGAACAAUGUGCUGUCAUUGGCCAUUGUAUUGCAGUAAUGUUAACACAUAACUACAAUUUUAUUAUGCCCCCACUUCGAAGAAGAGGGGGUAUAUUGCUUUGCACUUGUCGGUCCGUCGGUCCGUUGGUCCGUAGACCAAAUGGUUUCCGAGUGAUAACUUAAGAACUCUUAGGCCUAGGAACUUCAAACUUGGUAUGGUGAUUGGUCAUGACAAGUAGAUGACCCCUAUUGAUUUUGGGGUCAAGGGGUCAAAGGUCAAGGUCAAAUUGACCUUGUAAGCAAAAACGGUUUCCGAUAAAAAACUUAAGAACCUUAAGGCCUAGGAACUUCAAACUUGGUAUGUUGAUUGGUCAUGAUCAGUAGAUGACCCCUAUUGAUUUUGGGGUCAAGGGGUCAAAGGUCAAGGUCACAUUGACCUCUUGGGUAAAAACGGUUUCCGAUCAAUAACUAAAGAACCCUUAGGCCUAGGAACUUCAAACUUGGUAUGGUGAUUGGUUAUGACCAGCAGAUGACCCCUAUUAAUUUUGGGGUUAAGGGGUCAAAGGUCAAGGUCACAUUGACCUUGUAGGUAAAAACUGUUUCCGAUCAAUAACUAAAGAACGCUUAGGCCUAGGGACUUCAAACUUGGUAUGGUGAUUGGUCAUGAUCAGUAAAUGACCCCUAUUGAUUUUGGGGUCAAGGGGUCAAAGGUCAAGGUCACAUUGACCUCUUGGGUUAAAACGGUUUCCGAUCAAUAACUAAAGAACCCUUAGGCCUAGGAACUUCAAACUUGGUAUGGUGAUUGGUCAUGACCAGCAGAUGACCCCUAUUGAUUUUGGGGUUAAGGGGUCAAAGGUCAAGGUCACAUUGACCUUGUAGGUAAAAACGGUUUCCGAUCAAUAACUAAAGAACCCUUAGGCCUAGGAACUUCAAACUUGGUAUGGUGAUUGGUCAUGACCAGCAGAUGACCUAUUGGUUUUUGGGUCAAGGGGUCAAAGGUCAAGGUCACAUUGACCUUGUAGGUAAAAACGGUUUCCGAUCAAUUAACUAAAAACUCUUAGGCCUAGGAACUUAACUGCAAACUUUGAAUGAUGAUUGGUCGUGACCAGCAGAUGACCCCUCUUGAGUUUUGGGUCAAGGUGCCAAAGGUCAAAGUCACAUUGACUUUGUAAGUAAAAACGGUUUCUGAUCAAUAACUAAAGAACGCUUAGGCCUAGGAACUUCAAACUUGGUAUGGUGAUUGGUCAUGACCAGCAGAUGACCCCUAUUGAUUUUGGGGUCAAGGGGUCAAAGGUCAAGGUCACAUUGACCUUGUAAGUAAAAACGGUUUCUGAUCAAUAACUAAAGAACGCUUAGGCCUAGAAUCUUCAAACUUGGUAUGAUGAUUGGUAAUUGCCAGCAGAUGACCCCUAACGAUUUUGGGGUCAAGGGGUCCAAGGUCAAGGUCACAUUGACCUUGUAGGUAAAAAUGGUUUCCGAUCAAUAACUAAAGAACGCUUAGGCCUAGGAACUUCAAACUUUGAUGAUUGGUCAUGACCACUAGAUGACCCCUAUUGAUUUUGGGGUCAAGGGGUCAAUGUCAUAUUGACCUUGUACUUAAUGACGGUUUCUGACCAAUAACUCAACAACUCAAGUUGCCUUAGUUGAUAUUUUUAUAUUAAACUAAAAAUGCUUUUGGUAUACACAUUGGAAGGUCUUAUGUAAUAUAACAACUUGGCUGUCAUUAAUGAGGCCUACAUUAUUCAUAAAAUUGAUGCAUAUAUUAUUUGGUAAGAUUUGUAAUAACUUAAAUUGCUGCACACAACCUAUUGGGUCACAAUAAUUAUUACCUUGUGACUAGUCAUGACCAGUAGAUACUAGAUAACCCUUAUUAAUUGUUUGUUCACUGGGUCAGAAGUCAUGCAUACUAACCUGAUCACAUGACUAAUUGGCUGCCGAUAGGGGGCAUACAUGUUUUACAAACAUAUCUUGUUCUAAUUUGAAGAGCUGACAUUUUAUCAAAUGUGACGUUCCGAAACGGUUUUGUUCCGAGUUAUUUCCCAGAUAAUUCCAUAUUAUAAUGGCAUUUUAAAGCACCUGUUUAUUCUGACAAUUGUAAAUAUAUUGGUAAUGAUAAGAACUCUGAUUCAAAAUUCAUUGUUUCCUUUUAUUUCGUGGGAUCUCCCCUUUUGCAGAUUUAUUACUCUUCACUAUGAAAAUAUCGAUCUCAUUAAUUUACUUUGUGCUCUUUUUUAAGAUGACAUGAUAAUGUUAUCGAUCAUGAAAAACGUCAUAUACAGAAACAUUUAUGGAAAGUGCAUAAAGAGACAUUUAUAAUGCUAUAAAAGAUGAUAUGCCAAUCGCAACUACUCGGCCCUUUCCGUCAGUCUUCGGAUAAGGACCUCGAACACAAUAGUAAGAAUACACAGAAAGGAUGCGGUAUUCCGGUCUAACCUACGCUAAGAAACUAAACAUGUUAACAAAUAGUAAUUUAAUGCUGGGAGUUGUUGACAAGUUUAUUUCCAAUAUAUGUAGUUAAAGUCCACCUAAAAUAAGUGAAUUCAUAGGUAAAAAAGCAAACAAUACAAUAUUUAUAUAUUUACUAAUAUGGAUGUAGAAACCGAAAGUACAAAAAACUAACCUGUUGACAUUUAGUUGGAUUUGUUUAAAAUUGAACAUCAAUGGGCAUAUUUAAAUUACAAAUUGUUGUCAGACAUUUUUUCAACCAAAAGAGUACCGGAACAGACAUUAGAUGUCAAAUAUAUACAUUCGUUUUACAUUAUCUUUGUUUCUGUUUACAUCUGUAAACCACGUGGUAGAACUACUUUCAAUCCGUAUUGUUUCCGAGGUUAUUAUAGAUAAUAGCUGAGGCAGUUCUGAAUGGAUGAUAUGCAUAAUAACUUGAAUCACAAAAGAGUUGAGUAAAAACAAAAGGUUCGGAAAUUUUGGUGGAGCAAUACUCUCUCUAAAGUAUGGGAUUAUUUGAGGUAAGCUAAAAACCAUUUGCUCCAAUGCUUGGAAUUAUCUAUGAAUAGUCGGCACAUUAGGGAAAGCUGAAGGUGUCAAGUGCCGUGCGGCAGCUGUAAAAAGUUAGCCACGUACUUCACGUCAGAGAUCUUAUAUCUUAUUUCUCAAUGGUAGGAUACUACGUCAUCGGGCACCUGCUGAAUGCUCCCACUUGGACCAUUUUUUCGUCGACUCAAAGAGAUCACUUCUUUGAUUCUGAAGAAUGGCGUCGUUUGGCAGGAACAAGGUGCCAUGGCAAAGUUUCAACUGACAGGAUCACUUUACAAAAAGGUGCACUUGGCUUGUGUUGGAUCCGAAGGGAUGAUUCAAAAUUAUUGCCAGCAACAAAGCUAGGACUAUAAGACUUUUAAUGGACAGUUUGGAUCCCAAGAAUAAAACUUUGUUUAGAUGUUAAAAAAUGGUGGUGUUUUAUAAAGAAGUCAUUAUACAUUGUUAAGUGACAUACUGGAUUAAGAUUCUGUUGGACUCGUACACAUAUUAGAGUCCUGCAUUAAUUCAAUAAUUGAUGACUUGAAUAUCUUGUUAAUAAUUUAAAACCCAAUGAUUUGCGUGUUUCUUAAACUUGUGAUUUAGAUUUUAAAACAACAAAAUGGUACGUUAAUGAACAUAAAGAAGUCAAUAUAUGUCGGUUGAUUUGAAUAGUUUAUUAAAGAACAACAUGUAAAUCAUUUUUGUCAUGAACUGGUUAAAAAGUCAAUGUACUGCCAUGCCAUGGCACAAAAAGCAUGCAUCACAAUUAUUAACAACUUUGACAAUUUUAAGUAAGAAA